rnacentral:tRNA from 1 species
GAUACAGCUCAGUGGUAGAGGGCUUGUCUUGCAUACACAAGGCCCUGGGUUCAAUCCCCAGCACCA